GGAAGCGUGGCAGAGUGGUUGAAUGCACCGGUCUUGAAAACCGGCAGGGGUUUGCGCCCCUCGUGAGUUCGAAUCUCACCGCUUCCGCCA
rnacentral:tRNA from 1 species